rfam:Brenneria goodwinii strain OBR1 genome assembly, contig: Contig
CCCAGAGGUAUUGAUUGGUGAUAUAUCAAUGUGCUCUGUACAUUGACGCAUUUGAUUACACCAACCUACGCGGAUGCGUAGGUUUUUUUU